AGAAGGAGCCCUCCUUUAUCUCCUUCUUCUUCUCUCCUCCUUAUCCUCCUUCUUCUCCUUCUUCUUCUCCUCUUCUCCUCCUCCUUCUCCUUCUCCUUCUCCUUCUCCUUCUCCUUUUCCUUCUCCUCCUCCUCCUCCUCCUUAUUCUUGUUUUUCUCCUCCUUCUCUACUUGCUUCUUCUCUUUCUUCUUCAAUUUAGCUUAUUUUUCAUAUAUAUGUUGUUCUUCUUCUUCUUCUGACAUUCUUAUUCCCAUUUUGCAGAUUGGAUGUACUACAUGCAUGGAAGCUGGCAUUGG
rnacentral:lncRNA from 1 species